GAUGAACGCUGGCGGCGUGCCUAAUACAUGCAAGUCGAGCGAACGGACGAGAAGCUUGCUUCUCUGAUGUUAGCGGCGGACGGGUGAGUAACACGUGGAUAACCUACCUAUAAGACUGGGAUAACUUCGGGAAACCGGAGCUAAUACCGGAUGAUAUUUUGAACCGCAUGGUUCAAAAGUGAAAGACGGUCUUGCUGUCACUUAUAGAUGGAUCCGCGCUGCAUUAGCUAGUUGGUAAGGUAACGGCUUACCAAGGCAACGAUGCAUAGCCGACCUGAGAGGGUGAUCGGCCACACUGGAACUGAGACACGGUCCAGACUCCUACGGGAGGCAGCAGUAGGGAAUCUUCCGCAAUGGGCGAAAGCCUGACGGAGCAACGCCGCGUGAGUGAUGAAGGUCUUCGGAUCGUAAAACUCUUUUAUUAGGGAAGAACAUAUGUGUAAGUAACUGCGCACAUCUUGACGGUACCUAAUCAGAAAGCCACGGCUAACUACGUG
rnacentral:rRNA from 1 species